UGCAUGGUGGCGCAAUUGGUAGCACUGUUGCUUGCAGCAAGAAGGUCCUGGGUUCGAUUCCCAGGUGGGGGUCUUUCUGCAU